GAUGAACGCUGGCGGCGUGCCUAAUACAUGCAAGUCGAGCGAACGGACGAGAAGCUUGCUUUUCUGAUGUUAGCGGCGGACGGGUGAGUAACACGUGGAUAACCUACCUAUAAGACUGGGAUAACUUCGGGAAACCGGAGCUAAUACCGGAUAAUAUUUUGAACCGCAUGGUUCAAAAGUGAAAGACGGUCUUGCUGUCAUUUAUAGAUGGAUCCGCGCUGCAUUAGCUAGUUGGUAAGGUAACGGCUUACCAAGGCAACGAUGCAUAGCCGACCUGAGAGGGUGAUCGGCCACACUGGAACUGAGACACGGUCCAGACUCCUACGGGAGGCAGCAGUAGGGAAUCUUCCGCAAUGGGCGAAAGCCUGACGGAGCAACGCCGCGUGAGUGAUGAAGGUCUUCGGAUCGUAAGACUCUGUUAUUAGGGAAGAACAUAUGUGUAAGUAACUGUGCACAUCUUGACGGUACCUAAUCAGAAAGCCACGGCUAACUACGUG
rnacentral:rRNA from 1 species